rnacentral:rRNA from 1 species
UACGGAGGGUGCAAGCGUUAUCCGGAUUCACUGGGUUUAAAGGGUGCGUAGGCGGGUUGGUAAGUCCGUGGUGAAAUCUCCGAGCUUAACUCGGAAACUGCCGUGGAUACUAUCAAUCUUGAAUAUCGUGGAGGUAAGCGGAAUAUGUCAUGUAGCGGUGAAAUGCUUAGAGAUGACAUAGAACACCAAUUGCGUAGGCAGCUCACUACACGAUCAUUGACGCUGAGGCACGAAAGCGUGGGGAGCAAACAGG